CAAGUCGAACGGUUGUAGCAAUACAAUAGUGGCGCACGGGUGCGUAACACGUAUGCAACCUACCUUAUAGACGGGGAUAGCCUUUGGAAACGGAGAUUAAUACCCGAUAGUAAUAUUGACUGGCAUCGGUUUAUAUUUAAAGAUUUAUCGCUAUAAGCUGGGCAUGCGUCCAAUUAGUUAGUUGGUUAGGUAACGGCUGACCAAGACGAUGAUUGGUAGGGGAACUGAGAGGUUAAUCCCCCACACUGGCACUGAGAUACGGGCCAGACUCCUACGGGAGGCAGCAGUAGGGAAUAUUGGGCAAUGGAGGCAACUCUGACCCAGCCAUGCCGCGUGCAGGAUGAAGGCGUUAUGCGUUGUAAACUGCUUUUAUAUAGGAAGAAAUAGACCUUGCGAGGUAAGUUGACGGUACUAUAUGAAUAAGCACCGGCUAACUCCGUGCCAGCAGCCGCGGUAAUACGGAGGGUGCAAGCGUUGUCCGGAUUUAUUGGGUUUAAAGGGUGCGUAGGCGGUUUAUUAAGUCAGUGGUGAAAGACGGUCGCUCAACGAUUGCAGUGCCAUUGAUACUGGUAGACUUGAGUGAGAUUGACGUAGCUGGAAUGGAUAGUGUAGCGGUGAAAUGCAUAGAUAUUAUCCAGAACACCAAUUGCGUAUGCUAGUUACUAAGUCUCAACUGACGCUGAGGCACGAAAGUGUGGGUAUCAAACGGAUUAGAUACCCUGGUAGUCCACACUGUAAACGAUGAUAACUAACUGUUGGCCUUUGGGUC
rnacentral:rRNA from 1 species